CUGUAAGCCUGCGAAGGUGUGCUGUGAGGCAUGCUGGAGGUAUCAGAAGUGCGAAUGCUGACAUAAGUAACGAUAAAGCGGGUGAAAAGCCCGCUCGCCGGAAGACCAAGGGUUCCUGUCCAACGUUAAUCGGGGCAGGGUGAGUCGACCCCUAAGGCGAGGCCGAAAGGCGUAGUCGAUGGGAAACAGGUUAAUAUUCCUGUACUUGGUGUUACUGCGAAGGGGGGACGGAGAAGGCUAUGUUGGCCGGGCGACGGUUGUCCCGGUUUAAGCGUGUAGGCUGGUUUUCCAGGCAAAUCCGGAAAAUCAAGGCUGAGGCGUGAUGACGAGGCACUACGGUGCUGAAGCAACAAAUGCCCUGCUUCCAGGAAAAGCCUCUAAGCAUCAGGUAACAUCAAAUCGUACCC
rnacentral:rRNA from 1 species